rnacentral:lncRNA from 1 species
GUCUCCCUCUCCCUCUCGCUCUCUCUCUCUCUCCCUCUCUCUCUCUCUUUUGUGAGUUAUAGCAACCGUUGCCUUGUGAAUCAAGCGCCAUAGUCACCGUAGUCCUGGCGACUGUUACCCAUCAACAACAACUACUCCUCUCCUCCUCCUCCUCCUCUUCCUCCUCCUCCUCCCCACCACCACCAUCUCCAUCACCCACCAACAACACCACAAUAAUCCACAGCCAAGAUGAGUGUCAAAUGCCUGAACACUUUUGGAUGGUGAAGCUCCUGGGUCCUAUAAACUCUCUCUGAAGUUAAUAGGAGUUUUGCUGUCUUGGGACAGUUUCAGACCUUAUGCCAUUUACAUAAUAGGUUUUCA